UACGUAGGGUGCAAGCGUUGUCCGGAAUUAUUGGGCGUAAAGAGCUCGUAGGCGGUUUGUCGCGUCUGCUGUGAAAACUCGGGGCUUAACCCCGGACUUGCGGUGGGUACGGGCAGACUAGAGUGUGGUAGGGGAGACUGGAAUUCCUGGUGUAGCGGUGAAAUGCGCAGAUAUCAGGAGGAACACCGAUGGCGAAGGCAGGUCUCUGGGCCACUACUGACGCUGAGGAGCGAAAGCAUGGGGAGCGAACAGG
rnacentral:rRNA from 1 species